rnacentral:tRNA from 1 species
AACCUCGUAGCUCAGUUGGCUAGAGCGUUGGCUGUACUAAAGCCUUCCCCCUUGCUGGUGUGGGUUCGAAUCCCACUGAGGCCA